AACGCGAAGAACCUUACCUGGUCUUGACAUCCACAGAACUUUCCAGAGAUGGAUUGGUGCCUUCGGGAACUGUGAGACAGGUGCUGCAUGGCUGUCGUCAGSUCGUGUUGUGAAAUGUUGGGUUAAGUCCCGCAACGAGCGCAACCCUUAUCCUUUGUUGCCAGCGGUCCGGCCGGGAACUCAAAGGAGACUGCCAGUGAUAAACUGGAGGAAGGUGGGGAUGACGUCAAGUCAUCAUGGCCCUUACGACCAGGGCUACACACGUGCUACAAUGGCGCAUACAAAGAGAAGCGACCUCGCGAGAGCAAGCGGACCUCAUAAAGUGCGUCGUAGUCCGGAUUGGAGUCUGCAACUCGACUCCAUGAAGUCGGAAUCGCUAGUAAUCGUGGAUCAGAAUGCCACGGUGAAUACGUUCCCGGGUCUUGUACACACCG
rnacentral:rRNA from 1 species